CUUACCAUGCAGUCGAACGGCAGCACGGGGGCAACCCUGGUGGCGAGUGGCGAACGGGUGAGUAAUACAUCGGAACGUGUCCUGUAGUGGGGGAUAGCCCGGCGAAAGCCGGAUUAAUACCGCAUACGCUCUACGGAGGAAAGGGGGGGAUCUCAGGACCUCCCGCUACAGGGGCGGCCGAUGGCAGAUUAGCUAGUUGGUGGGGUAAAGGCCUACCAAGGCGACGAUCUGUAGCUGGUCUGAGAGGACGACCAGCCACACUGGGACUGAGACACGGCCCAGACUCCUACGGGAGGCAGCAGUGGGGAAUUUUGGACAAUGGGCGAAAGCCUGAUCCAGCAAUGCCGCGUGUGUGAAGAAGGCCUUCGGGUUGUAAAGCACUUUUGUCCGGAAAGAAAACCUCCGCCCUAAUAUGGUGGGGGGAUGACGGUACCGGAAGAAUAAGCACCGGCUAACUACGUGCCAGCAGCCGCGGUAAUACGUAGGGUGCAAGCGUUAAUCGGAAUUACUGGGCGUAAAGCGUGCGCAGGCGGUCCGCUAAGACAGAUGUGAAAUCCCCGGGCUUAACCUGGGAACUGCAUUUGUGACUGGCGGGCUAGAGUAUGGCAGAGGGGGGUAGAAUUCCACGUGUAGCAGUGAAAUGCGUAGAGAUGUGGAGGAAUACCGAUGGCGAAGGCAGCCCCCUGGGCCAAUACUGACGCUCAUGCACGAAAGCGUGGGGAGCAAACAGGAUUAGAUACCCUGGUAGUCCACGCCCUAAACGAUGUCAACUAGUUGUUGGGGAUUCAUUUCCUUAGUAACGUAGCUAACGCGUGAAGUUGACCGCCUGGGGAGUACGGUCGCAAGAUUAAA
rnacentral:rRNA from 1 species